rnacentral:lncRNA from 10 species
GGACCACAGGCGGCUGCCACCACACCCGGCUAAUUUUUUGUAUUUUUUAAUAGAGGCAGGGUUUCACCGUGUUAGCCAGGAUGGUCUCCAUCUCCUGACCUCGUGAUCCACCUGCCUCGGCCUCCCAAAGUGCUGGGAUUAUAGACGUGAGCCACCGUGCCCGGCCUUGCCACCUUUCUUUUAAAUUAAGCAUCUACUAUAUAUGAGUUAGUGCUGGUCACCAGAAAUAUAAAGCCAAAAUAAACCUCCAGCAAAUCGUGGUGAUCCCCUUUAGAAGCAAUGAAAAAUCAUGGCUAGACUGCCUCAUCUGUGGUACAUGACGGCUGCCUAAUCUGCUUAGGCAGCUCAGCACGCACAGAUCCUAGAUCAGAGGCUUGAAUUCACCAAUCUGUGUACACACAGCUGGAUGCAAUACCCUUGGUUUUCCUGGUACCAUCUGCUCACUAAAUCAUCCCCUGAAGGCCAAAAACAGAACAAAAGCAGCAUUGGGGAAAGGGGAAAAGAGAGAAAAAGUCAUAAGAUCAGCAAGAAGAGAAACUGUAGAUUUGCCUCAACUCAACAUGUUAAGUAAUCGCCUGACAUCUACAUAAGACCACCUCUUGGCACCUGGCUACACAAGCUGAAAUGGGUGUUAUGUGAGAAAUCCACACAGGAGAAACCCAAGAAAACCACGCAGGUAAAUGCUAGCCUGGAAAGACAGAGGGAAAACAUGCCAAGUGGAGCCCACCACAAGGACAGCAGUCAGAGCCCAAGAGCCCAGCUUUAAAAGGGCUGCAUACCAAAAGGAACAAAAGCACAAAACAAACAAACAAACAAACAAACAAGCAAAUGAUGGUGGAAACUAUUUUCAAAACUUCCCUGUUCUGGUAAAGACGUUUUCAGAGCUCAAACUAGUCCUGCUGAAAAUAUUUUUUAAAAUAUGAAAGCAUAGCGGAAAAUUUGUAUGAAAAAGAAAAAAGAAAAAGAAGGAGGAGGAAGAAGAAGAAGAAAGAAGAAAAAGGAGAGGAAGAAGAAGAAGGAGGAGGAGGAGAAGAAGAGGAGGAGGAGGAGGAGGAAAUGGCAGAGACAAUGUAUGUCCCAGAAAGCCUAAAAUGUGUACUGUUUGUCCGUUUAUAGAAAAAGUGUGCCAGUCCCUACUCUGUUCCCAAUUUUAAAAACAAAUAAAUAAAAAGAAAAACAAGCAAGUCUCUCAGCCAAGAAAGAAUCGAUGGGAACUUUUUCAACUUUAUAAAGUGGAUCUACAAAAAACUACAACUAACACUAACGUCACACCUAAUGGUGAAAGUCUGAAUGUUUUCCCUCUAAGACUAGGAAAAGGUGGCAUGGAUGUCCACUCUCCCUACUCUAUUCAGCAUUGUAUCAAAAGUUCUUAUCAGUGAAAUAAGACAAGAAAACAAUAAAUGGCAUCCAUAUUGGAAAAGAAGUAACACUGUCUUUAUUUGCAGAUGACAUUAUAAUCUAAAUAGAAAAUCUUAUGGAAUCUGCUAAAAAGCUAAUAGAACCAAUAAGCGAGUUUAGCAUAGUUACAAGACACAACAUAUAAAAAUUAAUUAUAUUUCAAAAUACUAGCAAUGAACAAUUAAAUUUUCCUUUUAAAAUUUUCAACAACAUCAAGACAUGAACCACUGGGGGAUAAACCCCAUGAAACAUGGCAGAAAAAAAUUCAGGAA